AUUCAGGCCUCCGCCAGCUUCUAGGCCCUGGGGAUGGUCUUUCACCUCCCUCUUUCUGAUCUCUUUUUCAUGCUCCUCCUUGCUCCAAAGAAAAGCCGGAUGGCAAAAGAGCCCAGAACCUAUUGGAACUGACAAAAUCAAGUCACGGCGCCUACAAAGAUGAGGGGCAGAUUCUGGCUGCCUUUUAAUUUCGUCCUUCACCUGAUAUCUGUGCCAGAGAAUGAUAAAAAUCAUAAUAAAGGAAAUAAUGGAAGAGGAGACUUAUGUUACUGGGGACAUCUAACAUAAUUAUUUUCCUGAUUCAGUGGCAUGGUUCAGUCUUCCAGGAGUUCUGCUACAGAGAAGAGAGUAACCCCCAUCCAUCAUGGCCAAAGCACCCAGUCAGGCUCCGCUCUGGAUCCAGCCCGACAAAUGCAACCCUUGAAUAGGGUUUGUGCAAGCAAACUGGAUGACGACCGAAGAAACCCUGUCGCUUCUGAGAAGACACCCAAUCCAAGAAUGAAAGCAUCAGGUUCAAUACCUAGGAACUCCUGUAGAGGGUGUUGUGGAAUCUUCUUUAAAAGAACAAAACAAGGCAAAACAAAGUUUAAUAGGGUAGAGCAGCCAGGUGUGGUGGGUCAUGCCUGUAAUCUCAGCAAUUUGGGAGGCCAAGGCAGGAUCUCAGCAAUUUGGGAGGCGAAGGCAGGCAGAUCACUUGAGCCUAGGAGUUCAAGACCAGCUUGGGCAACAUAGCAAGACCCUGCCUAUACCAAAAAAAAAAAGUGAACCUAGGAGUAUGAGGCUGCAGUAAGCUGUGGUUGUACCAGUGCACUUUGGGAGGCCAAGGUAGGCGGGUCUUCUGAGAUCGAGAGUUUGAGACCAGCCUGACCAACAUGGAGAAACCCCGUCUCUACUAAAAGUACAAAAUUAGCCGGCAUGGUGGUGCAUGCCUGUAAUCCCAGCUACUCGGGAGGCUGAGGCGGGAGAAUUGCUUGAACUCAGGAGGCAGAGGUUGUGGUGAGCCAAGAUCGCGCCAUUGCACUCCAGCCUGGACAACAAGAGCGAAACUCCAUCACAAACAAACAAACAAUAAACAAAAACCAUAGAGUGAUUUCUGGCCAACAGAGCAAGAAAGAAGUGAACCAAUGAAAACCGGUCCAAGUCUGGGAGUCAAUAUGGAAAAGCUGCCUAAUUAAUGUGGAAGCCCCAGGGAAAUGAUAUACCAUGAAAACCUAACACUACAAAAACUAGUUGUCAGACACAUGUGAGCAGUGAACAGAAUCCUAAUAUGCUGGUUUAACAUUCAAAACUGGAGAGUGUUUGUGUAUCUUCUAAAGACUGUUUGGGGUUUAUUUGUGGAGUUCAGCUGAGUGUCAUCAGAACAAAGAUUAGUGCAAAAAAUCUUUCAGAAAUCAUGCCCAAACAUUUGCAUGCACCUUAAAUAAGAAAUGAAAUAGCAAGAAGAGUAUGUCACAAUAAAGUAUAAAUAGCAAGUGAUAUGUCUCAUCGUACUGAGACAGUUUUAUAAAUGAGGCAAAGGCCUUGUCAAAAAAUAAUGAUGAUUUUCAAAAUUCUGAAACGCAAAGGAGGAAAACUACUUCAUUCAGUUAACAGGAAGCACACAAGAAUCUCCCCAUCAACCAAGAUUUUUUUUUUCUAUAACCCACGCUUUGUAAGACAAUAAUAGCAAAAACUAUAAACUAGAAUUUGUUGAAAGAACAACUUCUAGAAUUUGCCCUUUAUGUGCUGUUUUACCAUUGUCAUGUCUGUCUCUGGUAUGACUUCCUCAUCUAUUAGUAGCCUCCUAAUAAAUUUGAACAAAUGAAUGAAUG
rnacentral:lncRNA from 10 species